UAUGAGGCAAGGCUAUUAUCAUUAGAUUCAAGAGCCUACAGCCAGCAACACAAAGACACAGAAUCUAUAUUCAUUCCCACAAAAUUUCUAAUCACAAACAUCAAAAUCAGAGUGAAUGUACUAACAAAUCCACCCCCUUCAAUCUGCACAAAGUCCUAGUUAGCUCUUUCUGGCAUCAGAUCAGAUCAUACAUGUACAUUCCCCACCUCCUCACAAUUCCUCGCAUCCAUGCCACGCCAUGACCACCUCCCCAAGCUCCACCCUAAGAGCAGGGCGGCCGCGGCCACGGGAGCGGCGGGGCCGGCUUCCUCGCGCCCCGCCACGGCGGUGCGGGCCCGUCUCGCGGACGGCGGGCUUAGGCAGGGGGCACGGGGGGCUCCCCUUGGUCGGAGGGACACGCGAAGGAGAGGGAGGGCGGGGUCCGGCACCGGGUCGCCCGCAGCUCGCUGGCGGAGGCCGGGG
rnacentral:lncRNA from 1 species